AACUGAGUACUUUUAAAUAUUUAUUCGACACUUAAUACUGAGUAGAUACUUUGAAUCGACCCUGAGUACAUGUAUCAAAGAACUGAUUUGAACAGA